CGGCGGACGGGUGAGUAAUGCCUAGGAAUCUGCCUGGUAGUGGGGGACAACGUUUCGAAAGGAACGCUAAUACCGCAUACGUCCUACGGGAGAAAGCAGGGGACCUUCGGGCCUUGCGCUAUCAGAUGAGCCUAGGUCGGAUUAGCUAGUUGGUGAGGUAAUGGCUCACCAAGGCGACGAUCCGUAACUGGUCUGAGAGGAUGAUCAGUCACACUGGAACUGAGACACGGUCCAGACUCCUACGGGAGGCAGCAGUGGGGAAUAUUGGACAAUGGGCGAAAGCCUGAUCCAGCCAUGCCGCGUGUGUGAAGAAGGUCUUCGGAUUGUAAAGCACUUUAAGUUGGGAGGAAGGGUUGUAGAUUAAUACUCUGCAAUUUUGACGUUACCGACAGAAUAAGCACCGGCUAACUCUGUGCCAGCAGCCGCGGUAAUACAGAGGGUGCAAGCGUUAAUCGGAAUUACUGGGCGUAAAGCGCGCGUAGGUGGUUUGUUAAGUUGGAUGUGAAAUCCCCGGGCUCAACCUGGGAACUGCAUCCAAAACUGGCAAGCUAGAGUAUGGUAGAGGGUGGUGGAAUUUCCUGUGUAGCGGUGAAAUGCGUAGAUAUAGGAAGGAACACCAGUGGCGAAGGCGACCACCUGGACUGAUACUGACACUGAGGUGCGAAAGCGUGGGGAGCAAACAGGAUUAGAUACC
rnacentral:rRNA from 1 species